AGCAGCCGCGGUAAUUCCAGCUCCAAUAGCGUAUAUUAAAGUUGUUGCAGUUAAAAGCUCGUAGUUGAAUUUCGGGAUCAAAGGAUCGGUCAUGCCUUGGUAUGUACUGGUUUUAUUGGUUCCCACCUUCUAAAGAACCAUAAUGUCAUUCAUUUGAUGUUAUGGGGAAUUAGGACUGUUACCUUGAAAAAUUAGAGUGUUUAAAGCAGGCUUACGCUUGAAUACAUUAGCAUGGAAUAAUGAAAUAGGACAUCAGAUUCUAUUUUGUUGGUUUCUAGGAUCGAUGUAAUGAUUAAUAGGGAUAGUUGGGGGCAUUAGUAUUCAAUUGUCAGAGGUGAAAUUCUUGGAUUUAUUGAAGACUAACUACUGCGAAAGCAUUUGCCAAGGAUGUUUUCAUUAAUCAAGAACGAAAGUUAGGGAUCGAAGACGAUCAGAUACCGUCGUAGUCUUAACCAUAAACUAUGCCGACUAGGGAUCGGAUGAUGUUAAUUUUAUAAUGACUCAUUCGGUA
rnacentral:misc_RNA from 1 species